rnacentral:rRNA from 1 species
UAACGCGUGGGUAACCUGCCUUACACUGGGGGAUAACACUUAGAAAUAGGUGCUAAUACCGCAUAAGCGCACGAAGCCGCAUGGAUUUGUGUGAAAAACUCCGGUGGUGUAAGAUGGACCCGCGUCUGAUUAGCUUGUUGGCGGGGUAGAGGCCCACCAAGGCGACGAUCAGUAGCCGGCCUGAGAGGGUGGACGGCCACAUUGGGACUGAGACACGGCCCAAACUCCUACGGGAGGCAGCAGUGGGGGAUAUUGGACAAUGGGGGGAACCCUGAUCCAGCGACGCCGCGUGAGUGAAGAAGUAUUUCGGUAUGUAAAGCUCUGUCAGCAGGGAAGAAAGAAAUGACGGUACCUGACCAAGAAGCCCCGGCUAACUACGUGCCAGCAGCCGCGGUAAUACGUAGGGGGCAAGCGUUAUCCGGAAUUACUGGGUGUAAAGGGAGCGUAGACGGUUAAGUAAGUCUGGAGUGAAAGGCCGGGGCCCAACCCCGGGACUGCUCUGGAAACUAUUGAACUUGAGUGCAGGAGAGGUAAGCGGAAUUCCUAGUGUAGCGGUGAAAUGCGUAGAUAUUAGGAGGAACACCAGUGGCGAAGGCGGCUUACUGGACUGUAACUGACGUUGAGGCUCGAAAGCGUGGGGAGCAAACAGGAUUAGAUACCCUGGUAGU